UACGAAGGGGGCUAGCGUUGUUCGGGAUUACUGGGCGUAAAGCGCACGUAGGCGGAUAUUUAAGUCGGGGGUGGAAUCCCGGGGCUCAACCCCGGAACUGCCUUCGAUACUGGGUAUCUUGAGUUCGGGAGAGGUGAGUGGAACUGCGAGUGUAGAGGUGAAAUUCGUAGAUAUUCGCAAGAACACCAGUGGCGAAGGCGGCUCACUGGCCCGAUACUGACGCUGAGGUGCGAAAGCGUGGGGAGCAAACAGG
rnacentral:rRNA from 1 species